rnacentral:snRNA from 1 species
AGAUGUGAGGGUGAUCUGGCUGUGACAUUUGUCACCCCAUUGAUCACCAGGGUUGAUUCAGCUGAUCUGGCUGGUGAGGUGGGUGUCCCCUUCCUCCCCCACCGCUCCAUGUCUGUUCCUCCCAAAGUUGCAUGCUUGAAGAGGAUGACCAUGCCAGACAGAAGGAGGUUACUGCUCUUUAGUCAUGAGAUAAACAAUACUUCCCAAUUUCAGUUUAGAGACAUGAUGCAUAUCAUCACCCACAGCUCACAAUCACAAUAAGAGAUUUGUG